CGCCCCACCCCGCCCCGCCCCGAACCGGCCGCAGGAGCUGGGCCGGUAAAAGCUGUUGCCUCACCCCCCUCGUGUCCACAGGCCUGGGACCAGCACUGCAAAGUCCUUCAUCAACCACAGGACACCAAACCCCGCCAAGCCAACCACCAGAAUUAGAGCAACAUACUGCAGCCCUUGGGAGACAAAAUUAUGAUGUGCCCCGGGCAGAGAACAGGAGGGACCUGCUGCACCAACACCCUUGCAGUGGCAGGGAAAUGAUUUAGUAGGAUAGUCCUACCAAGUGCAUGGCCCAUCCUGCAGAGAAAGGUGAAAACUCAGAAGGGCCCUGGUAACAUGAUAGCUACUCCUAUUCCAAGCAAUGGCAGCAUUUUGGGGAAGACCAAACCUCUGCUGUUUUGAACCCAGUAUUUUCUUUUGCCCACUGCUCUGGUCCUGACCCUUCGUGUGUCAAUUGUACCUAUCACCUUUUAGGUGUCACUAGCCUCUGAGGGAAUCCCUGUGGCUGUCAUGGAAACGUUACAUACUUUCAGUUUUCAAAUGUUUGAACAAUAAAUGUGUUAAGAGAG